CCCUUAGAUGUUCUGGGCUGCACGCGCGCUACACUGAUGCACUCAACGAGUUUACGACCUUGCCCGAUAGGGUUGGGUAAUCUUUUUAAAAUGCAUCGUGAUGGGGAUAGAUUAUUGCAAUUAUUAAUCUUCAACGAGGAAUUCCUAGUAAGCGCGAGUCAUCAACUCGUGCUGAUUACGUCCCUGCCCUUUGUACACACCGCCCGUCGCUCCUACCGAUUGAGUGCUCAGGUGAAUAAUUCGGACUGCAGCAAUGUUUGGAUCCCGAACGUUGCAGCGGAAAGUUUAGUGAACCUUAUCACUUAGAGGAAGGAGAAGUCGUAACA
rnacentral:rRNA from 1 species